rnacentral:lncRNA from 1 species
CUUUUACUUGGCCGGGGCUGCGGCGACGCUGGGUUCGAACAGCGGCGGGUUCAUACUUGUCAGCAGAUUAGGAGGAGACUCUGGGUUCGUACGCCGACUGAGGCUUCUCCUUGAUGGGCUCCGGGCCCCGAAGUCUGGGGGCAGUACGGGGCCGGGGACAUGCAGGAAAGGGCCCUGGACCACUACAAAGCCGCAAAGAAAAAUUAGACUUGUUUCAUUUUAUAACAACAACAACUGCUACUACUGCUACUAGUUAGAUACCGUUUGCUCAUUUAUAACAAUCUCAGUUGGUAGGAUGAAGCUUAAACACUUGGCAUUCAUCGUCUUUUUCAGUCCUCUCGCCAGUCUUACAGACUUGGACCUUCAGUUGUGAUGCUUAAUCAGAAUUUUUUUUGAGAUAGGGUCUCUCUUGGUUGCCCAGACUGGAGUGCAAGUGGCACGUUCAUAGCUCACUGCAGCUUUAAACUCCUGAACUCAAACGAUCCUCCCGCCUCUGCCUCCUGAGUAGCUGAGAACACAGGUGCAAGACACCACGCCCAGCUAAUUAUUUUUUGUAGAGACGGGGUUUUGUCAUGUUGCCCGGGCUGGUCUCGAACUCCUGGGUUCAAGCGAUCUUCCUGCCUCGCCCUCCCAAAGUGCUUUACAUGACUGAGCCUCCGCGCCCAGCCAGACUUGUUUCUCAAGUGACUUCUUCUGGCCAUUUUCACAACUCAUUCCAAAGAUGUGCAGCAUAUUCUCAAAGCAUUUCCAAAUAAGCUCCAAGAAAUGUUUUUGGUAAUGGAAGCAGAAAACAAGCCUGUAGCUCAUGACUACUUUGGAGGAAGAACAUUUGGAUUUGUAAAUUUAGUGUGUUAAAAAAAUCACUUAUCACAGAUGUUUGGAAUCUUCCCACUGAUUUCUGCAUGGCUGCUUAUUUUUCUUCCCUUAAGUCUCAGUUCAUGUCACAGAGGGCUUCCCUGACCUCUCACACCUCACCACCAUCAACCUGUUUUCUCCAUAGCACCUAUCACAGUCUGAAUUGUCUUAUUAUGGCCUUACCUAUCCCUAACACCCAUUUAAAAAUGUAAGCAUGAAAGAAGGAACGUUGUCUAUCUUGUUCAUUGCUGAAUCCCCAGUGCCUAGAAUAGUACCAAUAAAUACUUGUUAAAUGAGCAAAUGUUUUAUUUAUUUAUUUAUUUUUGGAUUUGGGGUCUUGUUCUGUCACCCAGGUUGGAGUGCAGUGGAAUAUUAGCUCACUGCAGCCUUGGCCUCACUCCAGUGAUCCUCCUGCCUCAGCUGCUGGAGUAGCUGCGACCACAGGCUCACACCACCAAACCCGGCUGGCUUGGUUUUAUUUUUUGUAGAGAUGGGGUCUCAGUAUGUUGCGCAGACUACUCUUGAACUCCUGGGCUCACGUGAGCUUCCCUCCUUGGCCUCCCAAAGUGCAGGGAUUACAGGCAUGAGCCACCACACCCAACCUGAAACUUUUUUACAAAUCUCCAACUUUAUUACACCCACCCCCAAAAAAAUAAUGAAGCAGAAGACAUUGUUUAACAAGAAGCAGUUUAUUACACAAAACGAAACCUGAGAUAAUAGAAAAUAACACUUGCAGUAAUAAAGGAAGCAGCCUUGCACUCCACCUCCACACUCCAGAGUAUAAUUAAAAGACUCCUAUCAGACAUUUCUAUCACCAAUAAUGCCAACCUCUGCCUGAGGCUCCAGCAACAGUCAUUCAGAAACAACUGCCCACUUUAUACGUAAAAGUAUGAAAGGAAUGCCAAUGUGAGCCCAUGUCAUUAGGAGAGGUAAGGAUAAUCUACACCUUGCUUAACCAUCACUUAACCUUUUUAUUGCACAUAAUGAAAUUUAAGCCCUAACCUAGGUCUGUACUUGUGUAAUAAUUAUGCACUCUAAAUUAGCAUCUGCAUUUAGAUAGAUUGCAAGCUUAGAAAUCAGUCCUGCAUUUGACCUCUUUUGUCAGUGCCUACUAUAUCAAAUUUUAACAGAUUUUUUUUUUUUUUUUGAAAUGGAGUUUUGCUCUUGUUGUCCAGGCUGGAGUGCAAUGGCGUGAUCUUGGUUCACCACCACCUCCGCCUCCUGGGUUCAAGCGAUUCUUCUGCCUCAGCCUCCUGAGUAGCUGGGAUUAUAGUCAUGCGCCACCACGCCCAGCUAAUUUUGUAUUUUUAGUAGAGAUGAGGUUUCUCCAUGUUGGUCAGGCUGGUCUUGAACUCCCGACUUCAGGUGGUCUGCCUGCCUUGGCCUCCCAGAGUGCUGGGAUUACAGGCGUGAGCCAGCUCACCCAGCCCAACAGAUUUUUUUUUUUUUUUUAGACAGAGGUCUCACUGUGUUGCCCAGUUGGCACUCAUAGGCGCACUCACAGCAUACUACAGCCUCAAACUCUUGGGCUCAAGCGAUCUUCCUGCCUUAGCCUUCUGAGUAGCUGGGACUGCAGACCCAUGCCAUCACAUCUGGCUUAGAUAUAUUUUUGAAGGUUUUUUUUUUUUUUUUUUUUAGUUUCUGGAGUGCAGUGGCGAUCCUCCCACUUCAGCCUCCCAAGUAGCUGGAUCUACA